rnacentral:rRNA from 1 species
AACGAACGCUGGCGGCAUGCCUAACACAUGCAAGUCGAACGAGACCUUCGGGUCUAUUUGCGCACGGGUGCGUAACGCGUGGGAACCUUCCCUUAGGUUCGGAAUAACUCCCCGAAAGGGGUGCUAAUACCGGAUAAUGUCUUCUGACCAAAGAUUUAUCGCCUUUGGAUGGGCCGGCGUUGGAUUAGCUAGUUGGUAGGGUAAAAGCCUACCAAGGCUACGAUCCAUAGCUGGUCUGAGAGGAUGAUAAGCCACACUGGGACUGAGACACGGCCCAGACUACUACGGGAGGAAGGAGAGGGGAAUAUUGGAAAAUGGGCGAAAGCAUGAUACAGCAAUGACGGGUGAGUGAUGAAGGCAGUAGGGUUGUAAAGCUCUUUUAACCGGGAUGAUAAUGACAGUACCGGGAGAAUAAGCACCGGCUAACUACGUG